UACGAAGGGGGCUAGCGUUGCUCGGAAUUACUGGGCGUAAAGCGCACGUAGGCGGCUUUCUAAGUCGGGGGUGAAAUCCUGGAGCUCAACUCCAGAACUGCCUUCGAUACUGGAGAGCUCGAGUCCGGGAGAGGUGAGUGGAACUGCGAGUGUAGAGGUGAAAUUCGUAGAUAUUCGCAAGAACACCCGUGGCUAAGGCGGCUCUCUAGUACGGUACUGACGCUGAGACGCGAAAGCGUGGGGAGCGAACAGG
rnacentral:rRNA from 1 species